UAACUGUCAUGAAGCUGAGUGUUCUAUGAUCUGUAUGGAUUGUAAGCAGUACAAACACCUUUGUAUUGUCUGUGAUGAGAUGCUGCAUUCACAUCAACCAUUCAUGAUCGCAUUGGUUAUGUUAAUGGAGAAAUGGUUGAGUUAAAACCAAUACAGUCAAUUGAUUUCAAUGGAAAUUUAAUCGAAUUUGAAAAGCAUGUACCACUGGCAGUAAAGAGUUGUCCACAGUGUGGUUCUUCUAUUUUCCAUAAAAGAACUGACAACAGUCGUAUUAUAUCUGUUAUUUCAUUUAAAGGACGUUACGAUUUGUUUGGUUUUUCCUGCAUUUGUGUCCAAUGCUCAGCUAUCUUCGAUCCAUUG